rnacentral:snRNA from 1 species
AUACUUACCUGGACGGGGCCAAUGGGCGAUCAUGAAGGUCCAUAGGCUAGUGGCCUCCAUUGCACUUGGGAGGAGCGUUGGCUUACCAUCUCCCCAAGUGGGAGAGUGGACGUCAUAAUUUGUGGUAGAGGGGUACGUGUUCGCGCGGCCCCUAC